UUAUUUCCCUAGAAGAGGAGAUAGCAUGACCAAGAAGGCCGUUUUCAUCUGUUGCACUAUGGCUCUGCUAACCCUGGGAUUUCCUCAAAAACGGGAAACUCAACUGCUAAUUUAUGGUAGCUGGAAACUGUGUUCUCAUUCUUCCCC
ensembl:snRNA predicted gene, 23765